UACGAAGGGGGCUAGCGUUGCUCGGAAUCACUGGGCGUAAAGGGUGCGUAGGUGGGUCUGUAAGUCAGUGGUGAAAUCUCCGGGCUUAACUCGGAAACUGCCAUUGAUACUAUAGGUCUUGAAUUAUCUGGAGGUGAGCGGAAUAUGUCAUGUAGCGGUGAAAUGCUUAGAUAUGACAUAGAACACCAAUUGCGAAGGCAGCUCACUACGGAUAUAUUGACACUGAGGCACGAAAGCGUGGGGAUCAAACAGG
rnacentral:rRNA from 1 species